rnacentral:piRNA from 1 species
UGAGUUGAUUUUAUCACGAAU